UACGGGGGGGGCAAGCGUUGUUCGGAAUUACUGGGCGUAAAGGGCUCGUAGGCGGCCAACUAAGUCAGACGUGAAAUCCCUCAGCUUAACUGGGGAACUGCGUCCGAUACUGGAUGGCUUGAGGUUGGGAGAGGGAUGCGGAAUUCCAGGUGUAGCGGUGAAAUGCGUAGAUAUCUGGAGGAACACCGGUGGCGAAGGCGGCAUCCUGGACCAAUUCUGACGCUGAGUGAGCGAAAGCCAGGGGAGCAAACGGG
rnacentral:rRNA from 1 species